CUGAGCUGAGACGGGCGAGGGGAGGUGGCUGGGAGCGGGGAUGCUGGCUCCUCACGUCAUUCUACUAAGCACCUGCCAUGGGCUCAGCCGGGUGGUACCUGGACCUGAGUGUGUGUGUGGACCGGAGGGGUUCUGUGGGCCAGAGACAAGGGGCCCACGUCCCCGUUUCACACACGCACACACGGCUGCACACGCGUGCCCACGUCCCCGUUUCACACACGCGCACACGCGUGCCCACGUCCCCGUUUCACACACGCACACAGGGCUGCACACGCGAGCCCACGCCCCCGUUUCACACACGCACACAGGGCUGCACACG
rnacentral:lncRNA from 1 species